AUGCAAUGAUGACACUAAUUUCUUUAACUGAAACCCUGAUGCGUUUGAGCUUUUUAACCCUGAGCAUU
ensembl:snoRNA SNORD36 Small nucleolar RNA SNORD36